rnacentral:rRNA from 1 species
AUUGAACGCUGGCGGCAGGCCUAACACAUGCAAGUCGAGCGGAUGAAGGGAGCUUGCUUCUGGAUUCAGCGGCGGACGGGUGAGUAAUGCCUAGGAAUCUGCCUGGUAGUGGGGGAUAACGUCCGGAAACGGGCGCUAAUACCGCAUACGUCCUGAGGGAGAAAGUGGGGGAUCUUCGGACCUCACGCUAUCAGAUGAGCCUAGGUCGGACUAGCUAGUUGGUGGGGUAAAGGCCUACCAAGGCGACGAUCCGUAACUGGUCUGAGAGGAUGAUCAGUCACACUGGAACUGAGACACGGUCCAGACUCCUACGGGAGGCAGCAGUGGGGAAUAUUGGACAAUGGGCGAAAGCCUGAUCCAGCCAUGCCGCGUGUGUGAAGAAGGUCUUCGGAUUGUAAAGCACUUUAAGUUGGGAGGAAGGGCAGUAAGUUAAUACCUUGCUGUUUUGACGUUACCAACAGAAUAAGCACCGGCUAACUUCGUG